UAUCUAUCCAGAGCGACCGAGAGAUCUGGCUCUUAGACGUCGCAGCAACCUCGCCAGCCUCCACCCAUGGGGUGGACGGACAAGGUGCUCCCGCCAGAACCGAUAGAAG
rnacentral:ncRNA from 2 species